rnacentral:lncRNA from 1 species
AUAAAGUGUAAACUAUAAUUUUAUAUUUUCUAGUAAACGCAUUAAAAGCUAACAAGAAAUAGGUGAAGGUCAUUUUAGUACUUUUAAUUUACCAGUAUAUCUAAUGUGUUAUUUCAGUGUGAAAUUGGCACAAAAAAUUAAAUGGGAGAUGUGUUUUGCCCUCUUUUAUGUUGUUUAUAUUAUUACUCAGUUGAUAUGUAUUUUAUACUUAAUAACACAUUUCAGUUUUGGACUGACCACCUUUCAGCUUUCACAGCCACAUGUACAGUUUUUCUAAAGCUACUUUGUUUUGUUUUUGCCUGAGCCAGCCUCCAGUGCAUAGCACUGGUGGCCAGUACCUGGCCAUGUGACCAGCCAAGCCCUGAGCUCAAAAAACAUCUACCUGCCCCUGCCCCUGCCCCUGCCCCCGCAUGCGGAGAUUAAAGGUCUGCUAGAAGUACUUGCAAGAGAGCACUAUUGUGUGUCUGUGAACAUGGGCCAAAGAAGGAGGUGGGGAAAGAAUGAUAACUUUUUUAAAAAUAAAGACAAGACCAUUAUUUGGGCCAGUUUAUUUUACACAGAUAAGCUGUUACUGACUAUUCCAAAAAUAGUGUAUAUUGUCAUCAUGCCAUCUCUUGUGCAGUGUAUGGGAUACUUCUAAUAAAUGAUACUGAUAAAAUGAUCGAUAACGCAUCCUAGUAGUUAGCAAUUUCCACACUACUGUAUUUCCUUCAUGGAAGCAAAAUUAAUUCCAGGGACUUAAAGUUUCUGAGUUUUGUGCAGUUAAUUUUGAAAAAACCAAGAGACACUUUUUAUCUCACUGUACAUACAAAGAGUCUUUAUAGAAAUUUCAAAUGCUAAGAGCAUCGUCAGCCAUGGUUUUGGUGGUAAAACACGCACACAAAUCUAAAACACCACCUAUCCCCAAAAAGGUUGCCUUUUAACUAGACCUCUCCAGGCAUCUGUAUAUACACCGGCCACAGCAUACCUUCCUCAGCUACUCUGAGUAGGUGGGGCUGUAGAGGAUUUCUCUUUUGGUUAAAGUCAUUGCCAAGGCUAGGCCAGUAAUACCCAUGAUAAUUGAAAGCCAGCCCCCUGAAGGGAUCCUCAUUAUUUGCAAAUCCUGGACUCUUCAGAAGCUCUAAAUGGAUGGUGCCCUCGAAUGCAUGUGCUCCCUGCUUGUUAGGUGCCCAUUCCUAAGGACAGUGCUGCUUUGUGGGUUACAUUCUUGAGGGAGAAAAGAUCAUCUGGCUACAGUUUCUAAAUAUCCUUUAUAAAACUACUUUGUUAGAAACAAAGUUCUUAUUUAGUUUGUCUAUCUUCUUUUGUUGAGCACUUUAUGUUUGUUAGUGUUUUGCAUUCUCAAAUAUAGUUCAGAAAUUCUAGGCUAUGUAAAGUGUUGAUAAAGCGUAAUGAAAAUUCGUGGACAUGGAGUUCAACUGCAGUUCUGUGCUGGAUGUAAACCAAUAAUGGAAAUACUUUUUAUCUGAGAUGAUUGCCUCUAAAUGUCUCUGCUAUCUUUUCCCACCUAAGCCCUGAGUGCACUUCAUUCUGACAGCAGUGCAGGCCUGCUAGCUUCUACCGUGUCACCAGUUAAUCUCUUGUUUGGUUUUUGCUUUUUGAGACUGUGUCUUUCUAUGUAGUCCUGACUGUCCUGGAACUUUUGUCAUGUAGACCAGGUGGCCUCAAACUCAGCCCCCUCCUCUGCUUCCCAAGGGCUGGUAAUAAAAGAAUGAGCCGCCACAUCCGGCCUGCAUCACAGAAUUUUUGUUUUAUAAUCUAACAGGAAUUGUCUCACAGUAUCAGUCAUAUAAUGAUGUAAUCUUUUUUCCUUUGAAGUAUUAUGAUGACCAGUUCAAUACAGCAUGAAGAGUGUCCCAAGUUUGUGCUGUCUUUUAUCCUACUUGCAAAAUUAAAAUACUCCCCAUUGGGCACACUGUGCUGUCUUACAUAUUCAGUACAUGGAAUUCUGUUUUGAUACAAUGUUUUACAGUGUUCUGGUCAUUGGCCUAGCUUCUUCAAGUGUUCUCUUUGUUAACCAGAAAUUUGGUGGCCACCAUGGGAAAUGACACCAUUGCUAGGAGCCUGAGUGAAACCCUUGCUCCAUUCCUGGCAGCGCUUAAGAUGACUUACACAUUUCAGAUGCUAUUAAUGUUCUAGAGUUAAUUUUAGUGUUUUAUAGUAAUAAUUUAAUAAUUUCUCCGCCUUUCACUAGUAUGUGUUGAUAAAUACUUUCAAAACCAGAAAAAAAGAAUUACUCUCUCACUGCUGCCUGUGGUAAAUAUUGGAAAGUAUAUGUGUACAUUCAUGUGUAACGUCUUGAAUUUUAGCUGUUAACCUCAAAAUUAUAUAGGGAUUGUUACUACUCUGCAUUUGUGUAAGAAGAAAAUGUCCCUCUAAAUUCAGAGAAGUGUAUCUGGAAUUUUAGUAGCCCCUCUCUUUGACCUGUUUUUAUUUCUAAUCAUUGUGUAUGGUCACAGGUGGGGGCGAAUACAGAGCUCUUCUGAAAUUAUUGUAUUUGUCUGACAUGUUGCAGCAACAUUUACAAAAUGAAAGUGGAAUCACCUGCCCGCCCGCCCGCCGGUCGGAAUGGAUUACAGUCCUACCUACUAAUAAGGCAGGUAGCCGACCUUAAGAUCUCUUCUGAGCUGAGUGGAGCAACCUGUGUCUGACAGCACUGUCCUAAAGUCAGGGCGGGCUGACGCUGGAAUCCUGCUGCUGGGGAUCUGAUCUUAGUUCACAAACGAGUCUGUCUUCUAAACAGUUUUGGCUUAUAGAUUCUUUUUUCUGCAGCUGCUGUUAAUUUAAUCUUUAGAGACCUGGUAAAGGAUGUAACGUAACAGAAUGCGUUUUCACUUUUACAUAACCUUAAAGUACCACAAGUGAUGUAAGACAGUUUGGGAUUGCAGUUGUCUUGGCUCUGAGUGUCAUUGUGACUAGCUGUCCACAAGACGUCACAGUGGCUCAUUCAGUACUUAAUUAACCCUGCUAAGCCAUUUGGAAAGUGGCCAGUUUUUUUUUUCCUGAAUGAUGCCUUAGAGUUGACAGCAUUUAGAAGGAAAAAUAACUUUAUAAAAUCUAACGCUCAUGCUGUAGUGUUCAUUCCUACCUAUAAUCUCUAGUCCCUGCAGUGAGAAGUUCGGAUACUUGGUCACAGUUACCCACUGUGUUUGAGUUAAGUGAACUGGCAUUUUAACUGAAGUGAAAGGCAAGUUUCUUCUUAACUCUGCCCAGUUGUGAAGAAGUCAUUCCUUCCUAGGUGUUUCUGUCCCGGCUUAGAGCAUCUGUUACUUAAACCUGUCACUCCAGUGCAAGUUGCCUUACUCUGUUAGCUGCAUUCUUCCUGUCAGGUCCGAGCUUGGUUUAUGUUUAGAUUCUUCUAAUAUUAUUAAAUCUUAUGUAAAAAUGUAUGAGGUACUACAAACUUUAUGCAUAAUAAGACUAAGUUAUAGCCUAUUGUAACCUAUAAAACACUUGUUGUAAAUUAUCUAAUUUAUUUUUCCAUUUAUGUACAGUUUCUUAUUGUAAAUUGAAAAAUGUUUGUUGUGCCCUCCUCUGUAAACAUUCCCUUAAUGCUUAUUUGCAUGAAAGAAUGUUGGGUUCUACUCAUUUGUACUAUGUAGCUGUAAGCUGGGUUUGGGUGUCUACCUUUUCUGUAGUUUCUAACUUUUUUAAUUUGUUAAUAUUCUAAAUAAGUGUUAGAAUCAUGCUUUUUAUACCCUACUUUCCAAAUAAAUCCUCUUCUUUACUA